UCUUCUCUCUCCUCAUGGCCGGCCAAGACACCCUCUCUCUCUAACUCCUUGUUCAAAAAAAAUUCUGCACACUAAUCUUCCCCAAAAACCACCCCAAAUCACCUCCAAAUCACACCAAACUUGGAGACCACUUAGCAAACCUCUUGGAGAUUAUAUCUAGCUAAGGAGGAGGGGAGCUUUCACGGUUUCUUGGAGCUUCAAGAGGGCCGAAAAUUCUGACCUUGCAAACCAAAGGAGUAGGUAAUGAUCAACCCUUGGAUUCUUAUCUUUUGGAGAUUAUAUGGCAAGAUUAAGCUCAUGCAUGCACUUAGUUACUUGAUUAUGGUGUAAAAAUGUGAUUGUGGGCUCUUGGAAUUCCCACACUUGGGUUGUUGUUGCUGAUGUGAUGAUUAAUGGUGAUUAUAUUUUUGGUUUAGUGAUUAUAAUGAUGCAUUAGUGAUGGGUAAUUAGUGGAAACUUCAUUGGGUGUAAGAAGCUAAACUUUCCGAUUUUGCCCCUGCCAUGUUCGGCCAUUUCCAGGCCAAUUUUUAAUGGUUUAAUUGCUUGAAUUGGAUGUUUGUAGGAUGUAUUAGAUGUGUGAAAAAUUUCAUUGAAAAAUAAUGAGGUUUGAAUGGGCAAAUGAAUUUUUGUUCGAAACCAGCAAAUCUGGAAAACUGAUUCGCGUAUGCUCUGACCAGCAGUAGUAUUUUGGCUAUAACUCUGUCCUCGGAUGUCGAAAUCAUGUGCCGUCGGUGGCGUUUGAAACUAGACAUUCCUAGAUUUAAUUUGGUAUAUAAUGCACAUUCUGAUUCUUUGUGAGCGAGCCGAACCAAAUGUUUUAAGUUCGCUGUCCUGUUACUCUGUUCAUCUGGAAUGAAGUGUUCAGGCAGCAACUUGAUGCCCGAAUUUGAAUCAGAUGGGUGCCGAAUUUGGAAACGAUUUCUUCUGUGAUAUUUUAACUCUAUGAAUGUAUUUUCCAACGGCGUAAGCCAUGCUCGAUUUCGAUCUAUAUUGACUGAGUUGUGACUGAAACAAGUGGACUGCUCUGUUUUGGAAAACCCUAAUCUUUGGACUGGUUUGGAACAAAAUCUUGGAGUGAACUUGUUAGUUGAUGUUUUUGAUAUUAAACACUUACCAAAGGUAUCAUGGAUGUAUCUUAGACCCUUAUUUCACAAAUGAACCAUGGUUGGAUAACUUUCUUGGUUAAACGAUUGGAAAUUUGGAAAAUGAAAGUCAAAGGCAGAUUGCCUUAGGAUUUUUCUUGAACUUUGGUUGGCUAAUUAACGACCUUGCCGAAGGUAUCUUUCCCCAAAAUUCGAUAGAGAGAUACCUUCCACAUAGUAUUGAAAUACUACCAAUUUUGGUGCCGAUUCAAGUUCGUUUCGAUACCCAAUUGAAUUACUAAAGUUAGAGGUUCAAAUCUGGAAAAUUCUCAUCCAGUCUUGAAUUUGCUCAACUUCGGGCUACCGUAUCUCGGUGCUCGAAACUCCGAUUCUUGAUCCGCUUGUUUUGUUAUAAACUUCACUUGCAACACUAAUUGAGCUGCAAAACUCAGAGGCCGGUUUGCAACAUGCGAAUCGUGCCGAAUUUUCAAAGUUGGCCAAAAUCCAACCUCAUUCUGCCUUGUGAACCAACCCUGCACCUUCAAGCUCAUUUUUAGCACUUUCCACUUCGAUUCAUGGAAAAGUGUCUUCUAGGAACUUAUAGUACUUUCUAAGAGAUUUCCAACGGUAUAAAGUUUUCCAAUUUUUGACUUGUACCGAGUGAGUUACGAUUUUUCAAAGAUUCAUGAUAAAGCUGAAAAUUUUCCAAUUUCAAAGAAAUAGAGUUUUCAAGAACUCUUUACACUUUUGAUAUUAUCUAAACGUUUUGCCCACGAUUUUCAUGAUAAAAACUCAACUAAUAUUAUACUUCAUAAAACGCAAGUUGAACCUCGAUUUACGAGUAAUUGAGGUUCAUUUUUGUGAAAUAUUCCUUAGAUCGUACUAAUGUACAAUCUUACUUGAUAAUUGAGAUACUUGAGUAAUUAUCCACCAUUAACUGCCAGGCACACAAGGAGACCUUCAAGAGGAUUUCACCAUGGACACUUGAACUCCAGCGAAUAAUCUUUAUUAAAUUGCUCGGUGAGUGUCAAGUGUGUGAAUCUUUGAUACUUGCUUAAUUGUGGUAAUUAUUAGAGAUUUUAAAAAUAAGGGCGGGUGUGUACUUUAUCGCAUCCGUUCUGAUUUCCAAUGAAUGAAUGAAAUGUAUUGAAUGAAAUGUAUUGAAUGAAUGAAUGAAAUGCAAUGCUAUGUAAUGGUUACAUAUGUCGUUGGAGUGAACCUCCUCGACUUCCAAAUGAAUGGGGGACGCCCAAACUCAUAGGCCGACCUUGAACUCGAGCCGGCAAUGGGCUUGGUCGGGAACUUGGGCGAGCCAUGAGAUUAUAAGCUCGACCUAAUAAGAGGUCCUGCUUGGCAUACUCGUAGAGUAUCGCCUUAUAAUAGACUUGUGGGCCCUUGGGGUGUACGGUGGACGGAGGGAAGUAAGUGGUGAUCUACGGAAAUGGAAAUACCGACCCGGUUGACAGGAGGGUCAAUGCGGGAAGGUAUACGAAUGACAUCGGCAGAGCGAGUGGAACUUAGCUCCUGAGAGCUACUAUAUCCUUGAAUUGUUUCUGAUUAUUUUUCCUGCUCAAAUGGUACUUUAUUGAAAUAUCACGGUUUUAUUUGAUAAAGUUGAGAUUGCUAUUUGAACAAUGUGCUUGCAUGUGUGUCCUUGGCCUCACGAGCGUUUUGCUCACCCUGUAGACUUGUUUUCCUUAACAGGACUGGAAAUGGAGUUAACGCGGAGAAAUCUCCUUUUGGAUAUAUUUUGUUUUAGGGUUUCAGGUGUAUUUUGGCUUGACCCCUUUAUGAUUGUACUUUGGAAGUUUAAUGUAUCAUUCGGAUAUCUGUG
rnacentral:lncRNA from 1 species